CCCGCUGAACUUAAGCAUAUCAAUAAGCGGAGGAAAAGAAACUAACAAGGAUUCCCCUAGUAACGGCGAGUGAAGCGGGAAGAGCUCAAAUUUGAAAUCUGGUCGCCUUUGGCGACCUGAGUUGUAGUUUAUAGAAGCGUCUUGUUCGCCAGAGUACGUACAAGUCCCUGGGAAUCGGGUGUCGUGGAUGGUGAGAAUCCCGUCUGUGACGUGAUCGCCCGGUAGUAUGUGAUGCGCUCUGGAAGAUUCGAGUUCUUGGGGAGUGCAGCUCAAGACUGGUGGUGAAUUCCAUCUAAAGUUAAAUAUGGUCGAGAGUCUGAUAGAGAACUAGUUCUGUGAGGGAGAGAUGAAGAGCACUAGGAGAAGAGAGUCAAACAGUACGUGCAAAUUGUAGAAAGAGAAACGCUUGAAGUCAGUCGCGUCUAAUCGGACUCAGCGUGGCUUGGGUCACGUUGUAUGUUCGGCCUGUCGUGCCAGCAUCGAUUUUGACCGUCGGAGAAGGGGUGUGGAAAUGUGGCACCGUGUCGGUGUGUCAUAGUCACGUAUCGUUCACGGUGGUGUGGGAUCGAGGAACUCAGCGCGCCUUUCAGCCGGGGCUGGCGCACGUAACGCGCUCAGGAUGCUGGCGUAAUGGCUUUAAACGACCCGUCUUGAAACACGG
rnacentral:rRNA from 1 species